GGUCCAGGGCUAAGAUGCUCACAUGGCAUAGCACAAGUAGGCAACAAGAUUUACUCCUUUGGUGGCGAGUUCACACCAAAUCAGCCCAUCGACAAACACCUUUACGUCUUUGACCUCGAGACCCGGACUUGGUCCAUUUCUCCAGCCACCGGAGACGUUCCACACCUCUCUUGUUUAGGUGUCCGGAUGGUGUCAGUAGGAUCGACCCUCUAUGUCUUUGGAGGCCGAGACGCUUCACGCCAAUACAACGGUUUCUACUCGUUUGACACGACCACUAACGAGUGGAAACUGCUAACUCCGGUCGAAGAAGGACCCA
rnacentral:lncRNA from 1 species